UCGAUAUAAAUGUUUAGAGUUCCUCGAAAAAUUUAUGAAUAUUCGGAUGAGAAAGAAAAAACUUGUCAAAUCUUCAACAAAAGUGGUAGAAAAAAAUGAAUAAUGAAAUUUGGAAUUAGAUGGUAGUGUAACCCAAAAGGAAACCUAAGUGAAUUGUUAAUCCUGUUGAAAUAUGUAUAAUAGUGUUCAAUCAAUAAUAUUCUUAUUGUAUAGGUACUUUUUGCAUUUUUUAUGUAAUAUUUUCCAAUUAUGAUAACAAAACGCACAUUUGUACGUCUUCGAACGCAUGUCGUAUAUAUUAUCCGAUCCGAGUUUCACAUGUGUAAAAUCAAAGACUAGUAGUCUGGUGAAAUCCUUAGAGUUUUUCAUGUCAUUUCUCAUAUGAAUAUGUUAUUGAAUGAAGAUACGUCGAUACUGUUUCUUUAAGUAUAAUUCAAUAAUUAAAUUGAAAUUGAUCAGAAUUUCUCCGUUGGAUUAAUAACACUAUUGUAGUCAAUUGAAUUAUGUCAAAGUAGAAGUAGUUGUGUUCUUGAAGAGACACUUGGGAUUUUAAAAUCAGCUCUGCCCAAUUAUUGAGGUAACAGAAUAUAUUUCCAGAUUUACUCAUCAUAUUAAGGUCUCUUAUUUUGAGGCUGAUAUAAUAGUCAUCGCUUAGGUACUUUACGAAUCAAAGCAAAAGGCAUAAAGCCAAAGUUCAGGAAUGGAAAUCCAGAUCUGAAAGAUGAGGUAAUGGAUGAAGAAGCACAAAUUUCUGUAAGCAGCCAUGGAAGAGUAGGUACCACAAGUGCUAAUUCUGUCGAGGAAAUUGAAGAAGACAAAAGAACUGGAAUAAUAAGACGUCAGGUUUGAUAAACUUUAGUCCUUACCUAGGUUUACUACUACUACUACUACAGAAAUGUACUUUAACAGUAUUAAAUUUCCAGAAUUUAUAUAUAAUUCCUUCAAAGGUAAUCAAAAUGAAUGGACUUUAUUUAUUCAGAAUAUCAAACUCUAAUAAUAAUAAUGAUUUGUACCUCAUUCAGAAGUUAAUGCAUUUCAAAUCAUUUUUGAAAGAUGAUAUUGUAUAGACAAUCCACAAUUAUUAUGUCAUGAUAAUUCUGAAAUUGCUAUAAAUCUAUUGAAAAACCCAUAACGAAAUGAACAAUGCAAUAAAAUCGUAAAUAUAUGUCAUAUCUGCUCGAUCCACAAACCUUAACCAUAUUUCUGGUUAGAGCAUAGGGUUUACAAAACUUUGUAACAUAUUUGAGAGAUCACUGGAACUUAUAUUGACUAAUUUGAAUGAUUCUAGUUCGAAUUUAUAAUAUAUUCAGGUGUUAAUGUUAAUAUCCUUUCUAAUCCUAUGCCAGCUCAAUUUCUUUAAUUCCUUGAACUGAAAAAAAAUUUAAGAUUCAAGGAAUUGAGUAGAUAUGGAGGAGUGACAAAUUAUUAUGAAAUAACGAAUUGUGCAUAAUUGCUUGUAUUCUAGUCAUUCCAAAAUAAGUCUGAAAAUUUGUGUAUAUAAGUACUCACAUCACAGAAAUACAACACCUUCUUGUAUGAAACAACAGCGAAUGUAAAAACAUUUCAAGAACACCCCCUGUACAUUCUAUACAGUGGCGUAACUAGAGUUGCUCAUAGGGGGGUUACUCGACUCACUUUGAAAAAAUAAAAUGUUCAAAUUUUUAUAAAAAACUUCAAUCUUUUUCAAUUGUUACUUACAAUUUCUUUUAUUUCUUCUAAUCAAUAGGGGGGUUAUGUCUCCAAUAACCCCCCUCGUUAUGCCUAUGCUUCCUUAAGUACUCAAAGGUAUGGUGCCUCUCUGGUCAUGAAAUAAAUUUUUUUUGCAGUAGAAUAUUUUU